rnacentral:lncRNA from 1 species
UAUUGUUAACAUCAAGAGUAUUCAGUUAAGUAAUAUGGUGUCACAGGGGUGGGCCAAUAUCUAUGAACACAUCACCAUCACUAAAACACAAUUUUGUCAUGAAUCCAUCUGUGUCUGUUGUUUAAUAUGCACAUAGACUAAGGUGAGCAAGACAUGCUUUUUAGAGCCUCUAGUUAUCUUCAACAAUUUCCGCCAAAGUAUUCAAUUGAAAUUAAACAAUCCACCAAAUUAAAACCACCAUAAUUUUUCAAAGACAUUGUUGCCCCUAUAUUGUAAAAACAAAUAAUCUGCUAUGCAGUGUGUUUUUGUCUUUCAUGUAGCUGCCAUUAGUCAUUGUAAAUCAUCCUCUCAAGUUUACAGAGAGGUAUGUAAUAAUAUUCCAGAG